UAGGAGAAUUAGGUAGCAAUCUAUG
rnacentral:piRNA from 1 species